GUUGAGGGACCAGCUGAUCAGUUCCAUAAUUUAGGAUUUGAGAGACUUCACCACAGAAAGACAAGAAGAGACGAGACGAGAGGCACAGUGAGACACAAUCAGCAAGAUAAGGGAGGGGGACCAGAACGGCCUUUUGAACAAGUGCAGGGGACAUGUCUCCUGUGUCCCCCCCAAAUUAUGUCCCUAACCCCUGCACUUGUUCCACAGUGUCAAACUGUGAGGGACAGCUUCCUGAGUGACUUCCUGUCAACAGAACAGGGAGGGACCCUGAAAGUGAAAGUGUUUGUUCAGACUCCAUGUUGAGGUCGCAGAGCAGAAGGAGGAGAAGUGAAGGCUGAGGCAGGACUGACUGAAGUCCAGAAGAUGGAGGAAGAGGAGGACAGAGCAGAGUCUCCAGGAUCCAACGUCUGUCUAAGAAGAGUGACCGGUCCAAACAUGAACCUCUAAAGUUCAGACAUGAACCUGGACCUCAGACACAAAAGUUCAGUCCAACAGACGGAGAGCAGAGUCUCCAGGAUCCAUCUGUCUGU